CAGCCCACAUGUGCAGAGGGGUGUGAAGAAAUGCCCUUUAACUCUUGAGAUAAUUGAUGUCGACUGGGCCUUCA
rnacentral:lncRNA from 1 species